rnacentral:rRNA from 1 species
GCCUACGUGAGGCAGCAGUAGGGAAUUUUCGUCAAUGGGCGCAAGCCUGAACGAGCAAUGCCGCGUGAACGAGGAAGGUCUUCGGAUCGUAAAGUUCUUUUGAAGGGGAAAAAGAGCGGAGAGAGGAAAUGAACUCCGAGUGAUAUUACCCUUCGAGUAAGUCACGGAUAACUACGUGCCAGCAGCCGCGGUAAUCCGGAGGUGGCGAGCGUUAACCGGAAUUAUUGGUCGUAAAGGGUUCGUAGGCGGCCUGCUAAGUCUGGGGUGAAAGGUACCGGCUCAACCGGGACAGGCUCUGGAAUCUGGCGGGCUAGAGAGCAGGAGAGGGAGGUGGAACUCCAUGUGUAGCGGUAAAAUGCGUAGAUAUAUGGAAGAACACCAGUGGCGAAGGCGGCCGCCUGGCCUGUUGACUGACGCUGAGGCACGAAAGCGUGGGGAGCAAAUAGGAUUAGAUACCCUAGUAGUC